UGCUGGAGUACAGUGUGUGACCAUAGCUCCAUGCAGCCUCGAAACUCCUGGGCUCCAGCGAUCCUCCUGCCUCAGGCUCCCGAGUGACUGGAACUACAGGAACGGCUGGAGACAGAGUGAGAAGGUCCAAGUGAUGGCAAGACAGGAAGAUGAAAACAGGGAUACAGUGAGACAAGAAAAGAUGCCACCAAGCAACGGAGACGCAGACAGAGGAAGGCAAGGGUAACUUCCAGACAUUGCCAUGGCAUUUGUGAACUGUGACGCACUGGUGGGAGUGUCUUACAGCAACUAAUGUAUUAUAAUUAGUUCAUCAUGAGCAUGAGGACAACCAGAGGUCACUGUCGUCAUCUGGGUUUUGAGUGUGCAGUCCUGUGGGGAAGCUGGAUGUCAACUGCUUGCAGGUGGACCCGCAUCUCUGGAGAAGAAGGCGUGGAGUGGGCCUGAGCCCUGGCUGACAGGCAGGGUGCCCUGGGUUUGGACACUGGCCGGAAGGCUGAUGAGUUGCUGGAAUGGUCCCAUCCACAAGGCACUGGACACAUGCUUGGAACCAUCUGUGCAUAAAUCAGAAGAGCCAACGAGUCGGAAUGGUCAGUGUCUCC